GGCCCGGUAGCGGAUGGUCCGCACUUGCACUCAGUAACUGUUGGGUGGUCCAGUAUUUGUGCAGGACUUCGCUCGUUCAAUUCGAGCCCGGGCCA